UACGGAGGGUGCGAGCGUUGUCCGGAAUCACUGGGCGUAAAGGGCGCGUAGGCGGCCUUCUAAGUCGAACGUGAAAUCCCCGGGCUCAACCCGGGAACUGCGUCCGAUACUGGAAGGCUUGAAUCCGGGAGAGGGAUGCGGAAUUCCAGGUGUAGCGGUGAAAUGCGUAGAUAUCUGGAGGAACACCGGUGGCGAAGGCGGCAUCCUGGACCGGCAUUGACGCUGAGGCGCGAAAGCCAGGGGAGCAAACGGG
rnacentral:rRNA from 1 species